rnacentral:rRNA from 1 species
AUUGAACGCUGGCGGCAGGCCUAACACAUGCAAGUCGAACGGUAGCACAGAGAGCUUGCUCUCGGGUGACGAGUGGCGGACGGGUGAGUAAUGUCUGGGAAACUGCCCGAUGGAGGGGGAUAACUACUGGAAACGGUAGCUAAUACCGCAUAACGUCGCAAGACCAAAGGGGGGGACCUUCGGGCCUCACACCAUCGGAUGUGCCCGGAUGGGAUUAGCUAGUAGGUGGGGUAAUGGCUCACCUAGGCGACGAUCCUUAGCUGGUCUGAGAGGAUGACCAGCCACACUGGAACUGAGACACGGUCCAGACUCCUACGGGAGGCAGCAGUGGGGAAUAUUGCACAAUGGGCGCAAGCCUGAUGCAGCCAUGCCGCGUGUAUGAAGAAGGCCUUCGGGUUGUAAAGUACUUUCAGCGGGGAGGAAGGCGGUGAAGUUAAUAACUUCACCGAUUGACGUUACCCGCAGAAGAAGCACCGGCUAACUCCGUGCCAGCCGCCGCCGUAA